CCAAUGAAAUAUUUAGAACCUUCACAGAUUUCCAGUUUUAUGAGUAGCAGCCUUGAACUGGGAUACUUUUGUAGGCCCACAGCUGAGGACUAAAUCACUAUGCAGCACAAUCCUGUAUCCUAACAGCUCAAAACUAAUAUAAAAAGCUGCAUUAGGCUGCAUCAUGUUUCUUUUAAUAAUACAUUAUAAAUUGUCAGACCAAAAUAUGUUCUUAUAACCACUCAUAGCUUACUUAAGCAUGCACUGCCAGAACAGUUCUUGAAUAUGUUCGUGUUAGCAAGGCAACUAUAGGGAAAAGUAGGUCUAACUCUAGAUCCAUGUGACUGAUUUUAAUUCAGCUGGUGUAUUCCCUGAGGUACCCCAGCUAUGUGGCAUAAAGCACCUUUUUAUUUUGGUGUAGAAAAGUAUGGGGUCGGUGUUUUUUCUUCUGGAAAUGUGGGAGCUGGAUGUGCUGCUGCAAACUGCCACCCAUUUAACUUUCCACUACAAGUAGCACAGAAGUCAGCGUAUUGUGAUCCCGAUGUGUUUGGCCUUUUUCGUGCCUGCAUGGAGUAGAAAUUGGCUUAAAGGUGCACAGUUUGAAUCAGAACAGAUACAUCUUCACUGACUCAUUUUUAUGCCUAAACAAACUAAACAAGCUUAUUUUGUUUAAAUAAACAAAACCGACCUUAAAGGACAACACGAUUUCAUACUGUUUAACUUAGUUCAUAUUUGGCAGACCCUGCCACUUUAAUAGCUUCAGACAGGGCUCUGGAGAGCUUAUUUUCCUCUGAGAACUGCUUGUUCAUUCAGUGAUAGAAACAAGAGUUUGUAUUGCCUUUGAAAUCAAACUCCGAGUUUGAAAUUCUUCCCCAAAACUGUAUAGCGCCGAUGUCACGCAUGCCAUUAAAUCUCCCCACCAAGGUGCCGAAACUCGCCUCCUUCACUUCGCUGCGUCUCCUCUCUACAGGAAGGCAGCCACUUCAGGAAACAAAGCUUUGAGACGCGGCCCGGUGACCGAGGGUUUGGGGCGUCGACCAAACCUCCCUCAGACCAAUGGGAGCUCACGGUGAAACUUUGUAAACAACUCUCACGCGCUGUCAAACAGCUCGUCCGCCGUGUUUACUACGACGAGACGCGACGGUGCCGCUGCCAGGUGAACCGAAAUCGCCGAAACAGACAGGCGUCCAGAUGUUGAAAUAAAACCUCUCUUGGACAAUAUUUAUGAAGACAAGAGGAAGGAUGCGAUGCAAAGCAGAAAGAAGCAGCACCAGAAAGCCUGUUUUGGCCCAAAGUAAGACCCCAUGCUUGGGCCAGGAAAGCUCUUUUCUUUGCCACCUGAGUGACAUCAGGAAAAAGGCUAAAACGAACAACCAGCGCAGAUGUGAACCCUACUGUAACCACCACAAGAUUUAAUCAAUGGGAUCCUGUCAGUGGAAUGUGGUGAGGACUGGCCUUGGGAGGUGAUCUCAGAAGAGGAUACAGUGAGUGCCAGCUGUGCUCUGCUGCUGCUGCUGCUGUACAGUGCACACACAUACUUCAGAGAAGUCAACCUCGCUGCACUCCAUCCACCCCAUUGAACUGCCAGCUCUGGUAAUCAAUUCUGAGCCUUGUGCUGUCACUGCUGGCCUCUGGACACAGCAGCUGGCUGCAGGAAGACAAGCGCUCUUCCACAGAGUCUGUCCACCGAUCAGCUGCACCCAGCUGUCUAGCAGCAGCCCCCGCUAUUCAGAGAGCCCUGCCGCUGGUGUCUGUAAGGCGGGGAUUUACAUUUUCUCAGGACAGGCAGCCCGUGGAGAGAGGCCUGCUGGCAGAUCAAAGGCUCCGGCUGUAAAACGAUCUGAAAGAGUCCGGCAUUAGCAUCCAUCAGGGUACCUUGAAAGCUCCCUGGUCAGCCGAGAGGGAAGCUGAGGGCCCCCCAAAGUGAAAG